ACGGCCCAGACUCCUACGGGAGGCAGCAGUGGGGAAUAUUGCGCAAUGGACGAAAGUCUGACGCAGCAACGCCGCGUGAGGGAUGACGGCCUUCGGGUUGUAAACCUCUUUCAGCAGGGACGAAGCGAGAGUGACGGUACCUGCAGAAGAAGGACCGGCCAACUACGUGCCAGCAGCCGCGGUAAUACGUAGGGUCCGAGCGUUGUCCGGAAUUAUUGGGCGUAAAGGGCUCGUAGGCGGUUCGUCACGUCGGGAGUGAAAACUCGGGGCUUAACCCCGAGCCUGCUUCCGAUACGGGCAGACUAGAGGUAGGCAGGGGAGAGCGGAACUCCUGGUGUAGCGGUGGAAUGCGCAGAUAUCANGAAGAACACCGGUGGCGAANGCGGCUCUCUGGGCCUUACCUGACGCUGAGGAGCGAAAGCGUGGGUAGCGAACAGGAUUAGAUACCCUGGUAGUCCACGCCGUAAACGUUGGGCGCUAGGUGU
rnacentral:rRNA from 1 species